rnacentral:rRNA from 1 species
GCGAAUGGCUCAUUAAAUCAGUUAUCGUUUAUUCCGAAAACCCUUACUACUUGGAUAACCGUGGUAAUUCUAGAGCUAAUACAUGCUGAAAAUCCCGACUUCGGAAGGGAUGUGUUUAUUAGAUAAAAAACCAAUGCCCUUCGGGGCUUUUUGGUGAUUCAUGAUAACUUUACGGAUCGCAUAGCCUUGCGCUGGCGACGGUUCAUUCAAAUUUCUGCCCUAUCAACUUUCGAUGGUAAGGUAUUGGCUUACCAUGGUUUCAACGGGUAACGGGGAAUUAGGGUUCGAUUCCGGAGAGGGAGCCUGAGAAACGGCUACCACAUCCAAGGAAGGCAGCAGGCGCGCAAAUUACCCAAUCCCGACACGGGGAGGUAGUGACAAUAAAUACUGAUACAGGGCUCUUUUGGGUCUUGUAAUUGGAAUGAGUACAAUUUAAACCUCUUAACGAGGAACAAUUGGAGGGCAAGUCUGGUGCCAGCAGCCGCGGUAAUUCCAGCUCCAAUAGCGUAUAUUAAAGUUGUUGCAGUUAAAAAGCUCGUAGUUGAAACUUGGGCCUGGCUGGCGGGUCCGCCUCACCGCGUGCACUCGUCCGGCCGGGCCUUCCUUCUGAAGAACCUCAUGCCCUUCACUGGGCGUGCUGGGGAAUCAGGACUUUUACUUUGAAAAAAUUAGAGUGUUCAAAGCAGGCCUUUGCUCGAAUACGUUAGCAUGGAAUAAUAAAAUAGGGCGUGCGUUUCUAUUUUGUUGGUUUCUAGAGACGCCGCAAUGAUUAACAGGAACAGUCGGGGGCAUCAGUAUUCAGUUGUCAGAGGUGAAAUUCUUGGAUUUACUGAAGACUAACUACUGCGAAAGCAUUUGCCAAGGAUGUUUUCAUUAAUCAGUGAACGAAAGUUAGGGGAUCGAAGACGAUCAGAUACCGUCGUAGUCUUAACCGUAAACUAUGCCGACUAGGGAUCGGGCGAUGUUCUUUUUCUGACUCGCUCGGCACCUUACGAGAAAUCAAAGUUUUUGGGU